UGGAAACUGAAGCAGGAACCAAACGUGCAGCCUGCAAUUCUUUUUCAAACUUUAAAGGGGAGGAGUUAAGAUCUUUAAACACCAGCUACAUGUUGAUUUUAGCUAGAAAUUUGAGCUUGUAUCUGAAGUGAAUGUCGGGCAGCAACUGUGAUCUCAGAAAAAAUUGCAGAAACUGAGUGUUGAGCUGGAACUUGCAACUGAUGUCAAAAUUUCUUGGGUUAAUAACGUUAUAAGGUGCAUGCAACAGAUUAUUUUUUUUCCUUCUUCAGUUUAAGGGGUUAGUCGUAGGUCAGUGAGUGUGAAGUGGAGAGAACCGUACGUGAAAGAACUCUGAUGCAAGCUGCGGUACUUCAGUUUUGCAGCCUUGCGC
rnacentral:lncRNA from 1 species